rnacentral:rRNA from 1 species
GAUGAACGCUGGCGGCGUGCCUAAUACAUGCAAGUCGAGCGAACAGACGAGGAGCUUGCCCCUCUGACGUUAGCGGCGGACGGGUGAGUAACACGUGGAUAACCUACCUAUAAGACUGGGAUAACUUCGGGAAACCGGAGCUAAUACCGGAUAAUAUAUUGAACCGCAUGGUUCAAUAGUGAAAGACGGUUUUGCUGUCACUUAUAGAUGGAUCCGCGCCGCAUUAGCUAGUUGGUAAGGUAACGGCUUACCAAGGCAACGAUGCGUAGCCGACCUGAGAGGGUGAUCGGCCACACUGGAACUGAGACACGGUCCAGACUCCUACGGGAGGCAGCAGUAGGGAAUCUUCCGCAAUGGGCGAAAGCCUGACGGAGCAACGCCGCGUGAGCGAUGAAGGUCUUCGGAUCGUAAAACUCUGUUAUUAGGGAAGAACAAAUGUGUAAGUAACUAUGCACGUCUUGACGGUACCUAAUCAGAAAGCCACGGCUAACUACGUG